GAAAGGAGCUGGUGCCGGAAGCCCCCUUUCCCAUGGCGAACACUCGCCUACAGCACCGGAAUGGAGCACAGGAAGCGACCAGAGGACCCAGUGCUUUUGCUCGCAUUGAUAAACUACUUCUCCGGGCUGUUCAACCCUCAAAGAGCUUUUUAAAAGCAGAACAUACACGCAUGCGCGUCCUGGGAACCUCGUUCCUAAAGAGUCACACGGCAGAAAGUGCUGUUACAAGGAGGUAACAGCUGCCUGGGGCACAGACCCCACUGGCUCCAGAACCUUCUGCUCGGCAGCUCUACUGAGACUCGCCAAGAGGAUUUCCCUCCGUGCACACAAUGUAAAUCCACCUCUACCAGGAGCCAAGUCUUCCUGGGCCUCCAAGGGGUGGGAGAGCCCACCUGAGGAAGCGCGGGGGAGCCACAGACCUGGGCCCGGCGCCCUGCGGCUCCUGGGAACAGCUGUCGUGCGGGGGUCAGGAAAUACCAGUGACCAGUGACCGAAACACGUGGGGUCGGCGGCACCGGACGCCAAAGAGUGGAAACCCAUCAGUCUGUUAACUCUCAGGUCCCUACAGGGUUAAGUCCAAAUACAACUUGAAAAGCGAACACGUUAAACAAAAAAGGCAGCGUUAUACACACAGAAAGGAGCACAAGCGAAAAACGGUGAGCGCGCAACCAGGGCCGCCAGUGCUGCCCGAACAGACACAGACGUCACCACUGGAGGGGCCGGACCAAGGCUACUGGGCUCCACACACUAUUGUAUAAAUGCCACUGAACCCAAACUAUCCCCAAAUAAAAGCGGAAGGAGACCUC